rnacentral:tRNA from 1 species
GGAUGUUUAGCUCAGAGGCAGAGCAAGCGGCUCAUAACCGAGAGGUCGAUGGUUCGAAUCCAUCAGCAUCCA